ACAGUGAUAACCUAACACUCUUCGUUAACAGAUUAGGCUCACGAAACCUCCCUCCUCUGCUAAUCUUAUUGCCUCUCACAACAAGUCCCUGUCACCAGUAGCUCCCUCUACAGGUGAAUGUGUGCGAUCAGACUGUACUGUCCGUGUGACCAAGUGUAUAGACAGUGUGAUCGGCUGGUGCUCGGCCAGGCAGAACUGCGACGGUGUGUCCACACUCACCUAGGGCCAGCGAAGUGUGGCAUUGUCCUCAACACCAUGGGAUACACAAGUGGUGCAGGAGGUGAUGUGAGGGUGAGGAGAGGAGGUCCCAGCUGCCACUGCCACAGACCUCACUGUAGCAUACAGGAGUGAUGAGCACUGCAGAAAGAAAUGACACACUGAGGUACACGGUCCAACACAGUCACGGAGUAUCCCUUGUCCAGUAGCACGCGAACAACACUUCCACGGAGUACAAGCAAGUCAACAGGGGGACAAUCUAACCAAGAAUGACUUCACGUCCACCGAACACUUAAUAUGAGCAGACUCUUGUUGCAUGUUGCCACUGGUCCCAACAUGCCACAGGGGACUAAACCCAAACCGCUCCAUCACUGAGGGGAAUGUGAGGAUUAGCUUAAUUAACUUCUACAGCUACUAAUCCCAUCAAACAAUGGCCUGGUACAAGCAGCCUAAAUGAGCAGAGAUUUCAUUAUUUCAAUGGAGCAUUGUCCUGACUUAAUAAGGUAAUUAAGUAACAGUUGUUUUCAAUCUGGAUAAUUGAUCUGAUUCUGUGGUUGCUGGCAGCAUGCGGUGUGACAAUCACACAGUGGACUGUGUACUGAUUACCCCAUCAGCAAAAGCAGGGAGACUGGCCUGUCUUAGACAUACAGAAUACUACGGUAAUAACAAAUUCAAAGUGACUGCGAAUUUAGUUGCUAUAAACGAAGUUCGUUUUAAGCAGUUUAUUCAGCAAAUGGCCUGGACAACGAAAAUAACAGUUUGUUAUAUCCGUCAGUUCAUUAUAAGCAUGUUCCUUAUAAACAUACUUUACAGUAAUGAAAUAGAUGCUAGAAGUACAGACAUGCCUAGGGUUUCACACAGUCAAUUCAAAGAGGGAAACUAGUAAGUUAACCAUAUCUCACAGUACCAGUCUGUGUCUGAUCAGUGUUUGAAAUAAUUUUAAAACCCAACAAGUCAGAAGGGCAUGUGCCCAUCUUCAAAGUUACCUGCCCGCAUUCAGACAUUAUAAAUAUUGAAAAGUCGCAUAAAAUUUGACAAAUCGUGUCUUGUUUCAGUAGAAAUAAUGCAAUCAAUUACUUGAGAAUAUAUGACGAAUUAUAAUAAAACUAAAUACGUAAGUAGUCUUA